ACUUAAGCUUGAUAAACACUCCGACUAAAAUUGCAUAAGUAUUGAAUACAAUAAGUGUCAGUUUUGAUAAUGCUAAACUUCAAAUAAUAACUGAACUCAAUUUCCAAAUCGUUUGUAAGCAUUCGAUAAGUAAUGUAUUAUAUUUAUGUAUUUAAGUUUAAUCGCCGAAAGCUUUUAAAAAAUUGGUUAGAACAAAAAAAGCUCUAUGAAGUGGUGCGCGUGCAAAAAAGCGCUUGAUCCAAAAAACAACAAAUAUCUUGCACAGUGGUUACAGAUAUCAUUUUAUAAAUUACAAAUUGUUUAUUUUUGAAGUUUUGUAUAUAUUUAUAAUAAAUGAAAUAUUGAAUUAUGUUUGUAUAAAAAGUAAAAGUAAAUUAUUGUGUAGUAAUUAUUUAGCUUUGGAGUAAGAGCAUGAGAAAAUACCGCUCUCUUUAAGAUCAACAAGUUUCGCUCCCGGAUUUGCAUACAUACCUGAUGGAUAUUAAAAUUAGCGCAGUUUAGUUGUGGGUUUUACCUCGGCGACGUUGAAAGACAAGUCUUAAAUUUAAUCUUCAGUAUGUGGAGUGCGUUGUGUACGUGUAUUGGACUCUUGGUGUGUUGUCUCUUCACCUGGCAUAUCGAUGGACUCCCUCAAGAAGACUUUCUGGCACAACCUCCACGGUCAUUUGAUAAUAUUCAAGGUCUCGAAAUCCCUCCCUUCUCCCGAAUUCAGGCACCAGCCCGUGAAGAGUUGCCUGAUCUUUAUCGGGUGUAUGCGCCAAAUAUCUUGGUUACGCCAAUAAGUUGUCCGACAGGUUUUACAGCGGUCGGUAUAAGGUGCAGAAAGAUAGCCUAAAUCAAGUUCAGAAAAUAAUGAGUUUAAUUGUUAAUAUAAUGUCAACAACUGUAUUUUGUGAAAAAGUCUGUAAAAAAAUAAAAAUUUACUAUAAAAUGAUUGCCUAA